rnacentral:rRNA from 1 species
UACGUAGGGUGCGAGCGUUGUCCGGAAUCAUUGGGCGUAAAGAGCGUGUAGGCGGUCCGGUAAGUCCGCUGUGAAAGUCGGGGGCUCAACCCUCGAAUGCCGGUGGAUACUGUCGGGCUAGAGUGCGGAAGAGGCGAGUGGAAUUCCUGGUGUAGCGGUGAAAUGCGCAGAUAUCAGGAGGAACACCUAUUGCGAAGGCAGCUCGCUGGGACGUAACUGACGCUGAGACGCGAAAGCGUGGGGAGCAAACAGG